rnacentral:ncRNA from 1 species
GGAGGUCGCCGUCCGGCGACACCGGACGAGCAGCACCGUACCCGGCCAGCGACAAGACGGCGCCCU